CCUACGGGAGGCAGCAGUGGGGAAUCUUGCCCAAUGGGCGAAAGCCUGAGGCAGCAACGCCGCGUGGGGGAUGACGGCUUUCGGGUUGUAAACCCCUUUCAGCAGGGACGAAGUUGACGGUACCUGCAGAAGAAGCCCCGGCCAACUACGUGCCAGCAGCCGCGGUAAUACGUAGGGGGCGAGCGUUGUCCGGAUUUAUUGGGCGUAAAGAGCUCGUAGGCGGCUCGGUGAGUCGGAUGUGAAAUCUCCAAGCUCAACUUGGAGAGGCCAUUCGAUACUGCCGUGGCUUGAGUCCGGUAGAGGAGCAUGGAAUUCCCGGUGUAGCGGUGAAAUGCGCAGAUAUCGGGAGGAACACCAGUAGCGAAGGCGGUGCUCUGGGCCGGUACUGACGCUGAGGAGCGAGAGCGUGGGGAGCGAACAGGAUUAGAUACCCUAGUAGU
rnacentral:rRNA from 1 species